UUAUUCUACCUUGUUGCUUCGGCGGGCCCGCCUCACGGCCGCCGGGGGGCACUCGCCCCCGGGCCCGCGCCCGCCGAAGACACCAAUGAACUCUGUCUGAAGAUUGCAGUCUGAGCAGAUUAGCUAAAUCAGUUAAAACUUUCAACAACGGAUCUCUUGGUUCCGGCAUCGAUGAAGAACGCAGCGAAAUGCGAUAAGUAAUGUGAAUUGCAGAAUUCAGUGAAUCAUCGAGUCUUUGAACGCACAUUGCGCCCCCUGGUAUUCCGGGGGGCAUGCCUGUCCGAGCGUCAUUGCUGCCCUCAAGCACGGCUUGUGUGUUGGGCUUCGCCCCCCGGCUCCCGGGGGGCGGGCCCGAAAGGCAGCGGCGGCACCGCGUCCGGUCCUCGAGCGUAUGGGGCUUCGUCACCCGCUCUGUAGGCCCGGCCGGCGCCCGCCGGCGACCCCAAUCAAUCUUUCCAGGUUGACCUCGGAUCAGGUAGGGAUACCCGCUGAACUUAAGCA
rnacentral:rRNA from 1 species